rnacentral:rRNA from 1 species
GACGAACGCUGGCGGCGUGCUUAACACAUGCAAGUCGAACGGAAAGGCCCUGCUUUUGUGGGGUGCUCGAGUGGCGAACGGGUGAGUAACACGUGAGUAACCUGCCCUUGACUUUGGGAUAACUUCAGGAAACUGGGGCUAAUACCGGAUAGGAGCUCCUGCUGCAUGGUGGGGGUUGGAAAGUUUCGGCGGUUGGGGAUGGACUCGCGGGUUAUCAGCUUGUUGGUGGGGUAGUGGCUGACCAAGGCUUUGACGGGUAGCCGGCCUGAGAGGGUGACCGGCCACAUUGGGACUGAGGUACGGCCCAGACUCCUACGGGACGCAGCAGUGGGGAAUAUUGCACAAUGGGCGGAAGCCUGAUGCAGCAACGCCGCGUGCGGGAUGACGGCCUUCGGGUUGUAAACAGCUUUCGCCUGUGACGAAGCGGGAGUGACGGUAAUGGGUAAAGAAGCACCGGCUAACUACGUG